AACGAACGCUGGCGGCGUGUUUAAGACAUGCAAGUCGCACGGGAUCAUUUUGGUAGCAAUACUCGGAUGGUCCAGUGGCGCACGGGUGAGUAACACGUGAAUGACAUGCCCUUCAGUGGGGGAUAGCCCAGGGAAACUUGGAUUAAUACCCCAUGGUCUCGCGAGAGUAAAGGUGGCGCAAGCUGCCGCUGGAGGAUUGGUUCGCGUUCUAUCAGCUUGUUGGCGGGGUAACGGCCCACCAAGGCUACGACGGAUACCUGGUCUGAGAGGACGAGCAGGCACACUGGAACUGAGACACGGUCCAGACACCUACGGGUGGCAGCAGUCGAGAAUAAUUCACAAUGGGGGCAACCCUGAUGGUGCAACGCCGCGUGGAGGAUGAAGGUCUUCGGAUUGUAAACUCCGGUCAUCCGGGAGCAAGACCUGGCGGUCAAUAGCCGGCAGGGUUGAUAGUACCGGAAGAGGAAGGGACGGCUAACUUCGUGCCAGCAGCCGCAGUAAAAC
rnacentral:rRNA from 1 species